UUUAAAUUUGGCACCGGAAAUCCUAUUGGUCUGGGCGAUAAGGGAAUCAGCAUUGUCUGAGUCACAUUAUUUAAUGGGGAAUAAAGCUGGCCCAUUUGUCAUUUUCUGGUUUUAAACUACCUAAGGACUUUCUCAGUGGAUGUCAUACAAGGGAUACUGAGCAACAUAAUGUGCAACACAGAAACGAUCUCGACCUGAGAGGUUCCUGCUCCCCACCCCAGGACCUGGGACAUUCCCUCCUUGGGGAUGCUGCUGUGUGGCUCACCUAGAAUGCCCCCCAUGGGACUGAUCGGGCUGAUCGCCAGAGCAGAGAGGACGGAAGAGCCUGUUUCCUUGUGGGACCGCACCAGCCGAGCUCCUGCAUAGAUGCUGCUCUCCACGGAACUUCUGCUUACUGUUUGCACUGUGCGGGGCGGGUUCCCAGCCGACAGCUCCCUGGAGCCAACUCUGGGUUUCUGCUGAUAAGACCAGCUCAUUAAUUUUACCUGGGACACCAGCAGCCCAGAUCGAAUGCAGGGAAUUUGGAACAAACAGACAGACUGGAUGGAGACACACGGGUGCCUGCGUAAGGAGUUAGGAAAUGCGCCCCAACAGGUGUUCCUC
rnacentral:lncRNA from 12 species